rnacentral:tRNA from 1 species
UUUAAUGAGGUGUUUUUGCAUUUUGUGUUUUGGUCAUAAAGGAGAUUAGUUAUCCGUUAAAU